GAUGAACGCUAGCGGCAGGCCUAAUACAUGCAAGUCGAGGGGUAAGGCUCACUUCGGUGAGUACACGACCGGCGCACGGGUGCGUAACGCGUAUGCAACCUACCUUUAACAGAGGGAUAGCCCCGAGAAAUCGGGAUUAAUACCACAUAACAUCUUAUUAUGGCGUCAUAUUUAAGAUUAAAACUCUGGUGGUUAAAGAUGGGCAUGCGUGACAUUAGUUUGUUGGUGAGGUAACGGCUCACCAAGACUACGAUGUCUAGGGGUUCUGAGAGGAUGAUCCCCCACACUGGUACUGAGACACGGACCAG
rnacentral:rRNA from 1 species